rnacentral:rRNA from 1 species
GAUGAACGCUGGCGGCGUGCCUAAUACAUGCAAGUCGAGCGAACGGACGAGAAGCUUGCUUCUCUGAUGUUAGCGGCGGACGGGUGAGUAACACGUGGAUAACCUACCUAUAAGACUGGGAUAACUUCGGGAAACCGUAGCUAAUACCGGAUAAUAUUUUGAACCGCAUGGUUCAAAAGUGAAAGACGGUCUUGCUGUCACUUAUAGAUGGACCCGCGCUGCAUUAGCUAGUUGGUAAGGUAACGGCUUACCAAGGCAACGAUGCAUAGCCGACCUGAGAGGGUGAUCGGCCACACUGGAACUGAGACACGGUCCAGACUCCUACGGGAGGCAGCAGUAGGGAAUCUUCCGCAAUGCGCGAAAGCCUGACGGAGCAACGCCGCGUGAGUGAUGAAGGUCUUCGGAUCGUAAAACUCUGUUAUUAGGGAAGAACAUAUGUGUAAGUAACUGUGCACAUCUUGACGGUACCUAAUCAGAAAGCCACGGCUAACUACGU